GUUUGUGAUCAUAUUAGCACUAGUACACGGGAUUCUAUAGGAACUCUGAAGAUAAGCGUGCUUGGGCGAGAAUGGUACUUAUUGAUAUGUCACAUAUGAUUUCUAUCAGUGAUGACGAAGU
rfam:Cephalotus follicularis DNA, scaffold: scaffold10674, isolate: St1.